rnacentral:rRNA from 1 species
ACGGGUGAGUAACACGUGGGUAAUCUACCCUUUGGUGGGGAAUAACUCUGGGAAACCGGAGCUAAUACCGCAUAAUCCCGAGAGGGAAAAGCAGCAAUGCGCCGAAGGAGGAGCCCGCGGCCGAUUAGCCAGUUGGUAGGGUAAUGGCCUACCAAAGCAAAGAUCGGUAGCCGGCCUGAGAGGGCACACGGCCACACUGGCACUGAAACACGGGCCAGACUCCUACGGGAGGCAGCAGUGGGGAAUCUUGCACAAUGGGGGAAACCCUGAUGCAGCGACGCCGCGUGAGCGAUGAAGCCCUUCGGGGUGUAAAGCUCUUUCGGCAGGGAAGAUUAUGACGGUACCUGCAGAAGCAGCUGCGGCUAACUACGUGCCAGCAGCCGCGG